UACGGAGGGUGCAAGCGUUGUCCGGAAUCACUGGGCGUAAAGGGCGCGUAGGCGGCCACCGCAAGUCGACUGUGAAAUCUCCGGGCUUAACCCGGAACGGUCAGCCGAUACUGCGGGGCUAGAGUGCAGAAGGGGCAACUGGAAUUCUCGGUGUAGCGGUGAAAUGCGUAGAUAUCGAGAGGAACACCUGCGGCGAAGGCGGGUUGCUGGGCUGACACUGACGCUGAGGCGCGAAAGCUAGGGGAGCGAACGGG
rnacentral:rRNA from 1 species